UCAGUUAUUGUCAUCCCUUACUAUCCCGUGAUCAGACAAAUAUUGCUAUCCUUGUCUCCUUUCUAACCGGCAUGCAUCACACGCAUAGAACGCGUGAGCAACCGCGUCACCGGUAACAUCUUGACAAGCGAUAGCAAACCGGUAUUUAUUACGUCCCUUACUAUCCCAGGAUCACACAAAUAGUGCUAUCCUUGUUUAUGUGACCGCCGCCGCGCGCCGCCGCCGGUGAAGUUGGGAUUAGUUUUUUGCAUGUUUUGUUUGUUCAUUUGUUUACAGUUUAGUGCAAACCAUGGCCACGAUCGGUGUUAUUGUUGUUUGUUAAAAUAUUGUGAGUGCUCUAAAAGCAAAUGAAUAUUCAAGAUCUUAUAUUCUAAAAGAUAUUAGUGGAUGCAGUUAAGAGUGUUUAGUGAGUGCUAUGUUUGAAUAUUGCAAGUGAAAACACAGCCCAUCAAUGUAAUGCGCUAAAAAACUGCAAUGGCUCCGAAUACAUGAUUACCAGAUAACAAAUCCUGGCGCAGCUUACGUGUGUGCUUCUAUAACGUCGCAAGCUACAGUGGCUGUUCAUAAUUUUUGCAAGCUCUACACCAACAGGAUUCAGUUAUCUGGGCAUUAUAGAUACCCUAUUAUCACCUAAGAAGUUAUUUAGGUAUAUUUAUUAAAACCAUUAAAUAGAGGUGAGUGAUUGAGUUAAUUAGUAUAUAUAUGUUUUAUGAUUUUUACAUCUUAUUUAAAAAUAGAAAAGUGUAUCUGCCAUUCUUGGAAAAGUUAAAAUAAAUAACAUAUAAUUUAGGUAAUAGGUAUAGAAUAGGUAAUUUUUGAUAAUUUUUUUUUCUAUCAAAUAAAGAUGUUUAAUUAUACCUAAGUAUCUUUAUGAACAAAAAAUAUUACUUUGGGAUACGUGAGUUUCAACUAUGAUGUUUAAACUAUUGCUGCUGUAUCUGAUCUCGUUAAUUUUAUUCUUAAAUUGUAAUUAUUUGUCUCACAAUAUGAAACGGGGACCAAAAGCAAAAGUAUCAUUAGAAGCCCAAAAGGAUGUGUUUGUGAAGUUUAGAGACACUUUUCGAGAAGGUUUACCUCAUUUCCGCCAUGAAGUGUAUAGUCAAAUACAAUCUGAGUUUAAUUAUGUAAUGUCAAUCAGAGCUAUACAACUCAGCUUAAAAAAGAAUUAUACGUUCUUUUUCGGGCAUGAUGUGAACUUUUUCAAUAGCCUUCCAGCAUUCGAAAAUGACUUACAUUCAACAUUUGAUGAUUCCUCAGAUAGCAAGACUCAUAUUUUUUUAGUAGAUACAAUCACAUGGAAUGAAAUCCGACCAAAAAACUAUUAUUAUAAAAGAAAUGAUCGACCAAAAAAUCAAUACAAUAUUAAAAAAAGAUUACCUAUUAAUAAAUGGUCAAAUUUAAUACAGUUGCAGCUUUGGAAAGCAUUGCGUCUGCUUUGCACUUGGUGCUUUCAAAAUAACUGGGCCAGUAAUGAGUAUGAUAUUAAGUGCAAUGGUUACUGUAACCAAUGUCGCGCCAACAUUUCCCUUUCUUCUCACUUAAAAACAGAAAAUUUUAUAGAAGUUAAAUGUACAAUAACUAACUGGAAACAAAAUUACAAACAUUCAUCUAACGUAAAAAAUCAAAUCAGACCCGAGUACAGAAAAAAAUGGCUCAAAAUUUACAGCAAGAAUCAGCGGCUUCUAUACGUUACAAAAUGGCUUCCGAAUUAAUGUUGGAAGACGAUCCUGAGCCCUCAGUCUUGCCAAAAUUAGAACAGUUACAUCAGAUUAGAUACGAACAUAAAAAAGCAGACCAUUUUCAUGAGAAUCCCGUCUUAUCCCUGGCAGCGAUGAGCGAA